rnacentral:rRNA from 1 species
GACGAACGCUGGCGGCGUGCUUAACACAUGCAAGUCGAACGGAAAGGCCCCUUUGGGGGUCCUCGAGUGGCGCACGGGUGAGUAACACGUGAGUAACCUGCCCUUGACUUCGGGAUAACUUCAGGAAACUGGGGCUAAUACCGGAUAGGAAUCCUUGCUGCAUGGUGGGGGUUGGAAAGCUUCGGCGGUUUUGGAUGGACUCGCGGCUUAUCAGCUUGUUGGUGGGGUAGUGGCUUACCAAGGCUUUGACGGGUAGCCGGCCUGAGAGGGCGACCGGCCACAUUGGGACUGAGAUACGGCCCAGACUCCUACGGGAGGCAGCAGUGGGGAAUAUUGCACAAUGGGCGGAAGCCUGAUGCAGCAACGCCGCGUGCGGGAUGACGGCCUUCGGGUUGUAAACCGCUUUCAGCAGGGGCGAAGCUUUUGUGACGGUACCUGCAGAAGAAGCACCGGCUAACUACGUG